GGCGCGUGCCUAACACAUGCAAGUCGAGCGAGGAGAUUCCUUCGGGAUGAUCCGUAGCGGGCGACGGGUGAGUAACACGUGGGCAACCUGCCUCGUAGAGAGGAAUAGCCUUCCGAAAGGGAGAUUAAUACCCCAUAACAUUGCAGUUUCGCAUGGAACAGCAAUUAAAGGAGUAAUCCGCUAUGAGAUGGGCCCGCGGCGCAUUAGCUAGUUGGUGAGGUAACGGCUCACCAAGGCGACGAUGCGUAGCCGACCUGAGAGGGUGAUCGGCCACAUUGGGACUGAGACGCGGCCCAGACUCCUACGGGAGGCAGCAGUGGGGAAUAUUGCACAAUGGGGGAAACCCUGAUGCCAGCAACGCCGCGUGAGUGAUGACGGCCUUCGGGUUGUAAAGCUCUGUCUUCAGGGACGAUAAUGACGGUACCUGAGGAGGAAGCCACGGCUAACUACGUGCCAGCCGCCGC
rnacentral:rRNA from 1 species